AGUAAUUUAGAUUAUUUUAAAGUUCAUCAACACAGUUUCCGUGCGUAUAUAACUAUACUCGUAAAGAUUAUUUCGUUUAUUUGCUACAAAUUCAUAUUUUAAUUUUAUUAUUAUUAUUAUUAUUAUUAUAAUUAUUUUUAUUUUAGUAUCGUGAAAGCAAUGGGAUUAUUUCCAUCGUCAGUUGCCGUGGCUUAUAAUGUAACCUUUUUU